rnacentral:misc_RNA from 1 species
ACUCUUCAACCCGCCCUUUUCUUUAUGAUUAGGUGUCGGUGUUUGGAUUCUGAGCUUUUGCUACUUUACCGUAGCUGGCUCGUAAGACAUUAGCAUUUCAACUUUCGUAAUCGGAUUGACUUGGCGUAAUAGACUAUUCGCUGAGGACACUCUUCUCCCUUUUGGGAUGGAGUGGCCGAGAUAAGAAAUAACGAAGAGCUUCCAACCCCUCUAGUCAUUAAAAACUUUUUAAG